CCCGCCAUAGUCUAACCACAGUAUCCAAGCACCUUCCCAUGAUAUCCGGCAUAUGCACUAGUUUCUUACCAAUUCACGAGGUGAUCUCUCAAACUCAAAUCACUAGUACUUUGUAAAAGGUUUAGACAUUGAAUAUUGCAAAUAUCUGAAAGCCCUUAUACUAGUUUUUGUUGCAUUAACUGUGGAUCCCAAAGCAUAUAUCAGGUUCUUUCCUUGUUUUCAUUGCUCUAGGAUUCUUGCUUUUGCAUUAUGGAUUCAUAUUCACAGUAAUCAGGAUCUUAUAACUUGCCCAAUUAGCCUCCUACUAGUAGAAUGAAGUAAUCAUACUUAAAACUUAAAUCACUCUCCCAUCUCUUACUAGAUUGAAUCUCUUUAUUGGACUUGGUGGAAUAUAAUUCAGGCAUGAGGUAGGGACUAAAUUAUCAGGGGCUUAUGGCCUUAUUUCAGUGUUUUCUACAUGGGAAUUUCAUCAUUUAGCAGAGCAAUGUUUACUGAUUGAUCGUCUUUUACGAGCUCUACCUUUUUAGUAAACACUGACUUCAUCUCCCAACAUAUUCCUGUGUAUUUUUGUUUGUCUUUUGGAUGACAUUCCACAUCUAAUGCGGAGAAGGCUGCUUCUUGAAUAUUUUUCACUCCUGUUCUGUAUUUUUCAUUUGUUCAUUUACUCAUUUGCCUGUGAGUAGACUGGGCAAAGUCCAAUUUGUCUAUUGUGGCCACUUGAGGCUUCAUUGAAAUAGAUAAAUGGAAAAAAAAAAAAAAUUAGAACCCAAAUGUAUUACAAAAGGAAAGGGAAACAAAGAGGGAAAGCAGAAAGAGCUAAAAUACAAAAAAUGAUGCUUACUUUUUCUUCUUUUACCAGGAAACAGCCCUGGAGAAAAGGUUGGACGGGGUUUCUUCACCAAGAUUCUCAAACUGGGCAAGGCAAGUGUAUGGCCAUGGUGUCAAUAUCCCAAUCCCACUGUUGUCUACUGCAGCAUCAUCAGGAUUCCCUUCUUGCUCCACCAUUGGUCCCUCUGCAACUCUUCCACUAUUAA
rnacentral:lncRNA from 1 species